rnacentral:rRNA from 1 species
AGAGUUUGAUCCUGGCUCAGGACGAACGCUGGCGGCGUGCCUAAUACAUGCAAGUCGAGCGGACCAAAUCGGAGCUUGCUCUGGUUUGGUCAGCGGCGGACGGGUGAGUAACACGUGGGCAACCUGCCCGCAAGACCGGGAUAACUCCGGGAAACCGGAGCUAAUACCGGAUAACACCGAAGACCGCAUGGUCUUUGGUUGAAAGGCGGCCUUUGGCUGUCACUUGCGGAUGGGCCCGCGGCGCAUUAGCUAGUUGGUGAGGUAACGGCUCACCAAGGCGACGAUGCGUAGCCGGCCUGAGAGGGUGACCGGCCACACUGGGACUGAGACACGGCCCAGACUCCUACGGGAGGCAGCAGUAGGGAAUCUUCCGCAAUGGGCGAAAGCCUGACGGAGCGACGCCGCGUGAGCGAAGAAGGCCUUCGGGUCGUAAAGCUCUGUUGUGAGGGACGAAGGAGCGCCGUUCGAAGAGGGCGGCGCGGUGACGGUACCUCACGAGGAAGCCCCGGCUAACUACGUGCCAGCAGCCGCGGUAAUACGUAGGGGCGAGCGUUGUCCGGAAUUAUUGGGCGUAAAGCGCGCGCAGGCGGUUCCUUAAGUCUGAUGUGAAAGCCCACGGCUCAACCGUGGAGGGUCAUUGGAAACUGGGGGACUUGAGUGCAGGAGAGGAGAGCGGAAUUCCACGUGUAGCGGUGAAAUGCGUAGAGAUGUGGAGGAACACCAGUGGCGAAGGCGGCUCUCUGGCCUGCAACUGACGCUGAGGCGUGAAAGCGUGGGGGAGCAAACAGGAUUAGAUACCCUGGUAGUGCAUGCCGUAAACGAUGAGUCAUAAGUGUUAGAGGGGUCACACCCUUUAGUGCUGCAGCUAACGCGAUAAGCACUCCGCCUGGGGAGUACGGCCGCAAGGCUGAAACUCAAAGGAAUUGACGGGGGCCCGCACAAGCGGUGGAGCAUGUGGUUUAAUUCGAAGCAACGCGAAGAACCUUACCAGGUCUUGACAUCCCCUGACAACCCAAGAGAUUGGGCGUUCCCCCUUCGGGGGGACAGGGUGACAGGUGGUGCAUGGUUGUUGUCAGCUCGUGUCGUGAGAUGUUGGGUUAAGUCCCGCAACGAGCGCAACCCUCGCCUCUAGUUGCCAGCACGAAGGUGGGCACUCUAGAGGGACUGCCGGCGACAAGUCGGAGGAAGGUGGGGAUGACGUCAAAUCAUCAUGCCCCUUAUGACCUGGGCUACACACGUGCUACAAUGGGCGGUACAAAGGGCUGCGAACCCGCGAGGGGGAGCGAAUCCCAAAAAGCCGCUCUCAGUUCGGAUUGCAGGCUGCAACUCGCCUGCAUGAAGCCGGAAUCACUAGUGAAUUCGCGGCCGCCUGCAGGUCGACCAUAUGGGAGA